AGCAUAUCAAUAAGCGGAGGAAAAGAAACUAACAAGGAUUCCCCUAGUAACUGCGAGUGAAGCGGGAAAAGCUCAAAUUUAAAAUCUGGCAGUCUUUGGCUGUCCGAGUUGUAAUCUAGAGAAGUGUUAUCUGCGCUGGACCGUGUACAAGUCUCCUGGAAUGGAGCGUCAUAGAGGGUGAGAAUCCCGUCUUUGACACGGACUACCAGGGCUUUGUGAUGCGCUCUCAAAGAGUCGAGUUGUUUGGGAAUGCAGCUCAAAAUGGGUGGUAAAUUCCAUCUAAAGCUAAAUAUUGGCGAGAGACCGAUAGCGAACAAGUACCGUGAGGGAAAGAUGAAAAGAACUUUGGAAAGAGAGUUAAACAGUACGUGAAAUUGCUGAAAGGGAAACGCUUGAAGUCAGUCGCGUUGUCCAGGGAUCAACCUUGCUUUUGCUUGGUGCAUUUCCUGGUUGACGGGUCAGCGUCAAUUUUGAUUAUUGGAAAAAGAUUAAGGGAAUGUGGCAUCUUUGGAUGUGUUAUAGCCCUUGGUUGCAUACAAUAGUUGGGAUUGAGGAACUCAGCACGCCGCAAGGCCAGGUUUUUAACCAUGUACGUGCUUAGGAUGCUGGCAUAAUGGCUUUAAUCGACCCGUCUUGAAACACGGACCAAGGAGUCUAACAUGCCUGCGAGUGUUUGGGUGGAAAACCCGAGCGCGCAAUGAAAGUGAAAGUUGAGAUCCCUGUCGUGGGGAGCAUCGACGCCCGGACCAGACCUUUUGUGACGGUUCCGCGGUAGAGCAUGUAUGUUGGGACCCGAAAGAUGGUGAACUAUGCCUGAAUAGGGUGAAGCCAGAGGAAACUCUGGUGGAGGCUCGUAGCGAUUCUGACGUGCAAAUCGAUCGUCAAAUUUGGGUAUAGGGGCGAAAGACUAAUCGAACCAUCUAGUAGCUGGUUCCUGC
rnacentral:rRNA from 1 species